rnacentral:rRNA from 1 species
UGGGGAAUAUUGCACAAUGGGCGCAAGCCUGAUGCAGCCAUGCCGCGUGUAUGAAGAAGGCCUUCGGGUUGUAAAGUACUUUUAGCGGGGAGGCAGGCGAUAAGGUUAAUAACCUUGUCGAUUGACGUUACCCGCAGAAGAAGCACAGGCUAACUCCGUGCCAGCAGCCGCGGUAAUACGGAGGGUGCAAGCGUUAAUCGGAAUGACUGGGCGUAAAGCGCACGCAGGCGGUCUGUCAAGUCGGAUGUGAAAUCCCCGGGCUCAACCUGGGAACUGCAUUCGAAACUGGCAGGCUAGAGUCUUGUAGAGGGGGGUAGAAUUCCAGGUGUAGCGGUGAAAUGCGUAGAGAUCUGGAGGAAUACCGGUGGCGAAGGCGGCCCCCUGGACAAAGACUGACGCUCAGGUGCGAAAGCGUGGGGAGCAAACA